AGACCUCGACAAGGACACAAACUCAACACUACGUACUCUGAAACUGAAAUAUGCAAAGGCUAUGGCGCGGAUGGGUUGUAGGACAUGAGAACAAUAUAGCACUAGACUUAUGCUACGAACACAAGGACACUCGAAACUAAGGGUAGUUGUGAAACUAAUGGUAUGUCUGAACCUUUGAUUACCACUUGAGGAGAAUAAGUGUGGCCCGAUCUUGUGAAAUGUUCUGGUAACUAUCGAUUUGGUCGAAACGUGACACAAAUCAAUCCAGCUUGCGAACAACACGAUCCAAAACCCUGCAAUUCUUUUUAUUUUUUUGAUAUUUUUCUCUUACUUAGGAGCACUCAAGAAGUAACCACAGGAAAUUUGAGCUCAUACAAGUGCAAGACGUGGCCUGUGGAAAUUUUUGAAGAUUGCAAAAAAUAUGAAAAAAAACUUUAGGAGGUGAAAACUCAAACUUCAGAGGCGAAUUUGGGGAUUCUAAAAUUGUCAAAGCUUCUCAUGGCAGGGAUAGACAGAUCCAAAAAAAAUUUUCUGAUCGAUUUGGAUAUAUGGAACGUCAAAAUCGGAGUUCGUCUGCGAAAAUUAUGGCUGUUUUACGAACGGACUCCGAAUUAGAGGACAAAACGGUCCGGAUGUGGGAAAAAUUUGCGGCGGUGGCUAUAAAUUUAUGGAAACGGUGGGAAGAAACACACAAACUGGACUCUAACGAGACCUAACCAGUAACAAGACCUUGACCACGACACAAACUCAACACUACGGACUCUGAAACUGAAAUAUGCAAAGGCUAUGGCGCGGAUGGGUUGUAGGACAUGAGAAAAAUAUAGCACUAGACUUAUGCGACGAACACAAGGACACUCGAAACUAAGGGUAGUUGUGAAACUAAUGGUAUGUCUGAACCUUUGAUUACCACUUGAGGAGAAUAAGUGUGGCCC
rnacentral:lncRNA from 1 species